rnacentral:rRNA from 1 species
UACAGAGGGUGCGAGCGUUAAUCGGAAUUACUGGGCGUAAAGCGUGCGUAGACGGUUAUUUAAGUCAGAUGUGAAAGCCCCGGGCUCAACCUGGGAAUUGCAUUUGAGACUGAAUAGCUAGGGUGCGGAAGAGGGAAGCGGAAUUUCCGGUGUAGCGGUGAAAUGCGUAGAUAUCGGAAGGAACACCAGUGGCGAAAGCGGCUUCCUGGUCCAGCACCGACGUUCAGGCACGAAAGCGUGGGAGCAACAGG